AAAUUGAAGAGUUUGAUCAUGGCUCAGAUUGAACGCUGGCGGCAGGCCUAACACAUGCAAGUCGAGCGGUAGCACAGAAGAGCUUGCUCUUUGGGUGACGAGCGGCGGACGGGUGAGUAAUGUCUGGGAAACUGCCUGAUGGAGGGGGAUAACUACUGGAAACGGUAGCUAAUACCGCAUAACCUCGCAAGAGCAAAGAGGGGGACCUUCGGGCCUCUCGCCAUCAGAUGUGCCCAGAUGGGAUUAGCUAGUAGGUGAGGUAAUGGCUCACCUAGGCGACGAUCCCUAGCUGGUCUGAGAGGAUGACCAGCCACACUGGAACUGAGACACGGUCCAGACUCCUACGGGAGGCAGCAGUGGGGAAUAUUGCACAAUGGGCGCAAGCCUGAUGCAGCCAUGCCGCGUGUGUGAAGAAGGCCUUCGGGUUGUAAAGCACUUUCAGCGGGGAGGAAGGCAGUAAGGUUAAUAACUUUAUUGAUUGACGUUACCCGCAGAAGAAGCACCGGCUAACUCCGUGCCAGCAGCCGCGGUAAUACGGAGGGUGCAAGCGUUAAUCGGAAUGACUGGGCGUAAAGCGCACGCAGGCGGUCUGUUAAGUUGGAUGUGAAAUCCCCGGGCUUAACCUGGGAACUGCAUUCAAAACUGACAGGCUAGAGUCUUGUAGAGGGGGGUAGAAUUCCAGGUGUAGCGGUGAAAUGCGUAGAGAUCUGGAGGAAUACCGGUGGCGAAGGCGGCCCCCUGGACAAAGACUGACGCUCAGGUGCGAAAGCGUGGGGAGCAAACAGGAUUAGAUACCCUGGUAGUCCACGCUGUAAACGAUGUCGAUUUGGAGGUUGUGCCCUUGAGGCGUGGCUUCCGGAGCUAACGCGUUAAAUCGACCGCCUGGGGAGUACGGCCGCAAGGUUAAAACUCAAAUGAAUUGACGGGGGCCCGCACAAGCGGUGGAGCAUGUGGUUUAAUUCGAUGCAACGCGAAGAACCUUACCUACUCUUGACAUCCACAGAAUUCGGCAGAGAUGCCUUAGUGCCUUCGGGAACUGUGAGACAGGUGCUGCAUGGCUGUCGUCAGCUCGUGUUGUGAAAUGUUGGGUUAAGUCCCGCAACGAGCGCAACCCUUAUCCUUUGUUGCCAGCGAUUCGGUCGGGAACUCAAAGGAGACUGCCGGUGAUAAACCGGAGGAAGGUGGGGAUGACGUCAAGUCAUCAUGGCCCUUACGAGUAGGGCUACACACGUGCUACAAUGGCGUAUACAAAGAGAAGCGACCUCGCGAGAGCAAGCGGACCUCAUAAAGUACGUCGUAGUCCGGAUUGGAGUCUGCAACUCGACUCCAUGAAGUCGGAAUCGCUAGUAAUCGUAGAUCAGAAUGCUACGGUGAAUACGUUCCCGGGCCUUGUACACACCGCCCGUCACACCAUGGGAGUGGGUUGCAAAAGAAGUAGGUAGCUUAACCUUCGGGAGGGCGCUUACCACUUUGUGAUUCAUGACUGGGGUGAAGUCGUAACAAGGUAACCGUAGGGGAACCUGCGGUUGGAUCACCUCCUUA
rnacentral:rRNA from 1 species